GGGCGUAAAGAGCUCGUAGGUGGUUCGUUACGUCGGAUGUGAAAAUCUGGGGCUCAACCCCAGACCUGCAUUCGAUACGGGCGAUCUAGAGUGUGGUAGGGGAGACUGGAAUUCCUGGUGUAGCGGUGGAAUGCGCAGAUAUCAGGAGGAACACCAAUGGCGAAGGCAGGUCUCUGGGCCAUUACUGACACUGAGGAGCGAAAGCGUGGGGAGCGAACAGGAUUAGAUACCCUGGUAGUCCACGCCGUAGACGGUGGGCACUAGUUGUGGGAACCUUCCACGGUUUCUGCGACGCAGCUAACGCAUUAAGUGCCCCGCCUGGGGAGUACGAUCGCAAGAUUAAAACUCAAAGGAAUUGACGGGGCCCCGCACAAGCAGCGAAGCAUGCGGCUUAAUUCGACGCAACGCGAAGAACCUUACCAAGGCUUGACAUAUACCGGAAUAUGGCAGAGAUGUCAUAGCUGUAAAAGGUCGGUAUACAGGUGGUGCAUGGUUGUCGUCAGCUCGUGUCGUGAGAUGUUGGGUUAAGUCCCGCAACGAGCGCAACCCUCGUUCUGUGUUGCCAGCAUUUAGUUGGGGACUCACAGGAGACUGCCGGGGUCAACUCGGAGGAAGGUAAU
rnacentral:rRNA from 1 species